rnacentral:rRNA from 1 species
UACGUAGGGUGCGAGCGUUGUCCGGAAUUAUUGGGCGUAAAGAGCUUGUAGGCGGUUUGUCGCGUCUGCUGUGAAAAUCCGGGGCUCAACCCCGGACUUGCAGUGGGUACGGGCAGACUAGAGUGUUGCAGGGGAGACUGGAAUUCCUGGUGUAGCGGUGAAAUGCGCAGAUAUCAGGAGGAACACCGGUGGCGAAGGCGGGUCUCUGGGCAACAACUGACGCUGAGGAGCGAAAGCGUGGGGAGCGAACAGG